rnacentral:miRNA from 1 species
AACACACGCGGGGGUGUCCAGU